GUUCUCGGCCUCAUACCCCCCUUCUUCCAGAGGUUAUCAUCAUAACUAAUUGUUCUUGUACCAUGUUUUAGCUUUUCUUGUACCAUGUUUUAGAUUUUGUGAUUUUCUAUUCCAAUAUUCCUAUAUUUUUAAACUACCGUCAACUCUCAAGGGAAAGGAUGGGUUUUCGUGGAAUAAUCUCUUUUUUAUCUUUUUUAGCUGCCGUCCAUGGAGAUUACAUAAACUUGGGCUGUGACCCGGGCUGGACAGAUCUAGGCAAUGGUUACUGUUACCAGCCAGUGACGUCAAAGGCCGUCUCCAGGAAGAAUGCCAAUUACGACUGUGGGACGACCUUCAGCAGCCUCGUUACUGUCAACAAUGCCGGAGAAAUGGUCAGAGCAAAUAAAUUGAUUUGAGAAUUAAAGAUAUCCUGCAUUCAUUUCCUUUUUUUCGCAAAUAUAUUUUAUCGAAAUUUUAUCUGAAUCUAUUAGAAGUUUUGUUAUAAUCAAAGACAAAGACAAAGUAUUCAUCCUUCAAUUUAACCAUGUUAUUUUGACCAUGUUUUGAAAACUGUAUUGAACAAUUAUCAGAUGACUUUUAUGUUUGUUUCAGGCCGCUUUAAAUAAGUUAGUUGCUGGCUACAAGUCUGAUGGCUUUUGGACCAGUCUGACGGAUCUACGGUUUGACGGGACUCUAGCAUCCUCCGGCACCUGGACCUGGGAUGGACAGCAAGCAUUGGGCAACACCACCAUUUCCUGGGAGAGUUAUCCAACAAACAAUCCAAAAGACACAUGCGGAGCCAUCAACAUCCAAGCAAAAAUGACCAACUGGCAGUGCACAAGAAAGAUGGGAUUUAUCUGUGAACUGGACCAAACACAAGAUACCGGAUGUCCGUUCGGCUGGAUGAUCACGGACAACUCUUGUUACUAUUUUAGUAACUUCACCGACCCCACUCAGAUUCUAACUUGGAAUGAUGCCAAGCAGUGGUGCGCCAACAAACAGUUUCCGGCUGGUGCCGCUAAGCUUGUGACCUUAGACAACCCCAAUGAUGGACAAUACAUUCUGGGAGAAAUGCCUGUUGUUGGAGCCACGGACCGCUUUUUCUGGACUGGACUUACCAAACAGACCACUGGAUGGGGCUGGUUCAAUCAAGAUACAUACUUAUCACAAUAUGUGAAUUGGGCCAAGGAACCCGAUCACGUGAACAAUAAUGAGGACUGUGCAAUUCUAAAAACAGACGGGAAGUUCUCAGAUCAAGACUGCAACAAGCCGUUCAACUACAUUUGUUACAAAGAAUCGAAGUCUGUUCACACUGAGUACUACAUGGGAUGCGGUGGGUGGACGAGAGCCAACAACAAAUGUUACAUGUUCUACGACGGCCCGGCGUCAACGUACACGGGGGCCAGAUCAACAUGUAUGCAACUAGGGGGAGACCUUAUCAAAAUAGAUACAAUGGACGAUAGGUAUUGGUUGGAGCAGCAGAUGAUAAUGAAUGGGCAUAACAACAUGUAUUACACGGGCCUGAAUGACAUCGCCAAUGAGGGAGAUUACCGAUGGGCCGACGGCACACCAUACAAUAUAUCAAUGAUUAAUUGGAACCAGGAACCAAAUUCAUGGGGAGGGAACGAGGAUUGUGCAGCCCUUUUACAACAAUACACUUGGAAUGAUGAAGAUUGCACACUAUCGUUCCAAUACAUCUGCGAAUAUCCAAAUCUAAAUCAAGGCGACUGUCCCCAAGGUUGGAUGCAAAGAGACGAUAACUACGAAUGCUACUACUUUGCCAGUCCCAACGAUACCCGGAACUGGUUCGAGGCGCAGACUCAUUGCUACUCUAUGACGGUUGAUAUCAAUCAGCCAGCCAAACUUAUUGCAAUUAACGACCAGGAGGAAAUGCAAUGGAUUCAACAAGUUUUGCCAACAAUACCCUUGUCCACAGGACGAGCACAAUUCUGGACGGGGCUUAAUGAUCGAAAUGUUGAAGGUGUCUGGACGUAUCCCGACAAGACUGACAACCCUCCCAAUAGCAUAGUCAUAAACUGGACUGGAGAGCCAAUGGACCCUGAUGGCACUAAAGAUUGCACGUGGUUAGGAUUUGGAGGAAGAUAUCUAACCACCAGCUGUAACAGAAAGAUGGGCUUUAUUUGCUCAAAGUAUGCACAAGGUUUCGGUAGCGGUGCAGAGUUCAUUCGUCCCUCGAUUACCCUGUUGUUUAGCUUGAUAACGUCAUUUUUGUUUUUACGUCGAUGAUGUGUUAUUUCCCCAAGAACUAAGGAGAAAGCAUUGUUAAGCACUAUUUUAAAUUUUACACGUUUUAUACCACUUAAUGUAUAAAACCAUAUAAUAUUGUAUACAAAAUGUAACGUUCUCUCAGUGGCACGCUUUAAAUCAAAAGCUGACAAAAAUAUUUCAUUAAAUCCAUGGAUUGC
rnacentral:misc_RNA from 1 species